rnacentral:rRNA from 1 species
CAGUCGCCGCGGUAAUACGUAGGUGGCAAGCGUUGUCCGGAAUUAUUGGGCGUAAAGGACUCGCAGGCGGUUUCUUAAGUCUGAUGUGAAAGCCCCCGGCUCAACCGGGGAGGGUCAUUGGAAACUGGGAAACUUGAGUGCAGAAGAGGAGAGUGGAAUUCCACGUGUAGCGGUGAAAUGCGUAGAGAUGUGGAGGAACACCAGUGGCGAAGGCGACUCUCUGGUCUGUAACUGACGCUGAGGAGCGAAAGCGUGGGGAGCGAACAGGAUUAGAUACCCCUGUAGUCCCUGUCUCUUAUAU